UUUAACUUCUUUACCAUGUUUGUGUUGACGGAAUCGACCUAACCUUGCUGACAACGUGACUAAUAGGAGCAACUAUCUAUAUUUUACUGUACGUUAUUGGUACCACUGAUUAAAAAAGAGCGAUGUUCGGAAAAAAGAAAGAAAUAAAUAUGGCGUAGAGUGAUUAUUACACAUGUGUCAGUGAUCCUCGGUGAAAUCCUUUUCAACUAAUAAAUUUCAUCGCUAUCGGCUUCGUGCUUCCAAUAAAACCAAAAUAUCAUCUUUUUUUAGAUAAUAUAUUUUUCAAGAUUUUGAUUCAAGAGAGAACCUGAAUUGUACAAAAACAGCCAUAAAAUGGUGCAUAAAUAUGUUUCUGUGAAAUUUGAAUAUGAAUGUCCAGAAAACAUUCGUGAAAAUUCUAUAAACAACUCGAAAUUCAUAUUUAAAGAUACAGAAUCACUAAGGUCCAACAUUAAUGAUCAGAUUCAUUCAUUUUGUAAAAGUAAACAUUAUGAGAUUGAUC